rnacentral:rRNA from 1 species
CCUACGGGAGGCAGCAGUGAGGAAUAUUGGUCAAUGGACGAGAGUCUGAACCAGCCAAGUAGCGUGAAGGAUGACUGCCCUAUGGGUUGUAAACUUCUUUUAUAAAGGAAUAAAACGAGGCACGUGUGCCUUUUUGCAUGUACUUUAUGAAUAAGGAUCGGCUAACUCCGUGCCAGCAGCCGCGGUAAUACGGAGGAUCCGAGCGUUAUCCGGAUUUAUUGGGUUUAAAGGGAGCGUAGAUGGGUUGUUAAGUCAGUUGUGAAAGUAUGCGGCUCAACCGUAAACGUGCAAUUGAUACUGGCAGUCGUGAGUACAGUGGAGGUAGGCGGAAUUCGUGGUGUAGCGGUGAAAUGCUUAGAUAGCACGAAGAACCCCGAUUGCGAAGGCAGCUUACUAAACUGUGACUGACAUUGAUGCUCGAAAGUGUGGGUAUCAAACAGGAUUAGAGACCCGUGUAGGC